rnacentral:rRNA from 1 species
AGGUGAUCCAACCGCAGGUUCCCCUACGGUUACCUUGUUACGACUUCACCCCAGUCAUGAAUCACAAAGUGGUAAGCGCCCUCCCGAAGGUUAAGCUACCUACUUCUUUUGCAACCCACUCCCAUGGUGUGACGGGCGGUGUGUACAAGGCCCGGGAACGUAUUCACCGUGGCAUUCUGAUCCACGAUUACUAGCGAUUCCGACUUCAUGGAGUCGAGUUGCAGACUCCAAUCCGGACUACGACGCACUUUAUGAGGUCCGCUUGCUCUCGCGAGGUCGCUUCUCUUUGUAUGCGCCAUUGUAGCACGUGUGUAGCCCUGGUCGUAAGGGCCAUGAUGACUUGACGUCAUCCCCACCUUCCUCCAGUUUAUCACUGGCAGUCUCCUUUGAGUUCCCGGCCGGACCGCUGGCAACAAAGGAUAAGGGUUGCGCUCGUUGCGGGACUUAACCCAACAUUUCACAACACGAGCUGACGACAGCCAUGCAGCACCUGUCUCACGGUUCCCGAAGGCACAUUCUCAUCUCUGAAAACUUCCGUGGAUGUCAAGACCAGGUAAGGUUCUUCGCGUUGCAUCGAAUUAAACCACAUGCUCCACCGCUUGUGCGGGCCCCCGUCAAUUCAUUUGAGUUUUAACCUUGCGGCCGUACUCCCCAGGCGGUCGACUUAACGCGUUAGCUCCGGAAGCCACGCCUCAAGGGCACAACCUCCAAGUCGACAUCGUUUACGGCGUGGACUACCAGGGUAUCUAAUCCUGUUUGCUCCCCACGCUUUCGCACCUGAGCGUCAGUCUUCGUCCAGGGGGCCGCCUUCGCCACCGGUAUUCCUCCAGAUCUCUACGCAUUUCACCGCUACACCUGGAAUUCUACCCCCCUCUACGAGACUCAAGCUUGCCAGUAUCAGAUGCAGUUCCCAGGUUGAGCCCGGGGAUUUCACAUCUGACUUAACAAACCGCCUGCGUGCGCUUUACGCCCAGUAAUUCCGAUUAACGCUUGCACCCUCCGUAUUACCGCGGCUGCUGGCACGGAGUUAGCCGGUGCUUCUUCUGCGGGUAACGUCAAUGAGUAAAGGUAUUAACUUUACUCCCUUCCUCCCCGCUGAAAGUACUUUACAACCCGAAGGCCUUCUUCAUACACGCGGCAUGGCUGCAUCAGGCUUGCGCCCAUUGUGCAAUAUUCCCCACUGCUGCCUCCCGUAGGAGUCUGGACCGUGUCUCAGUUCCAGUGUGGCUGGUCAUCCUCUCAGACCAGCUAGGGAUCGUCGCCUUGGUGAGCCGUUACCCCACCAACAAGCUAAUCCCAUCUGGGCACAUCCGAUGGCAAGAGGCCCGAAGGUCCCCCUCUUUGGUCUUGCGACGUUAUGCGGUAUUAGCUACCGUUUCCAGUAGUUAUCCCCCUCCAUCAGGCAGUUUCCCAGACAUUACUCACCCGUCCGCCACUCGUCAGCGAAACAGCAAGCUGUUUCCUGUUACCGUUCGACUUGCAUGUGUUAGGCCUGCCGCCAGCGUUCAAUCUGAGCCAUGAUCAAACUCU